UAUGGACCCUUCUUUCAGGAGACCUAUGUCUCGAGUCAAAGCAAGCAAGGCAAGCCUUUGGGGCUCUAGUACUAACUAUCCCCAAAGGUGUUUAUUCUUCUCGUGUAAACCAUGAUGUACGAAAAAGUUAGUUGUUAACUUAAAAACAACUCUUGGCAAUGGAUCUCUUGGUUCUCGCAUCGAUGAAGAGCGUAGCAAAGUGCGAUAAUUAUUGCGACUUGCAUUCAUAGCGAAUCAUCGAGUUCUCGAACGCAUCUUGCGCCUAGUAGUCAAUCUACUAGGCACAGUUGUUUCAGUAUCUGCAACUACCAAUCAGUUCAACUUGGUUCUUUGAACCUAAGCGAGCUGGAAAUGGGCUUGUGUUGAUGGCAUUCAGUUGCUGUCAUGGCCUUAAAUACAUUUAGUCCUAGGCAAUUGGCUUUAGUCAUUUGCCGGAUGUAGACUCUAGAGUGCCUGAGGAGCAACGACUUGGUUAGUGAGUUCAUAAUUCCAAGUCAAUCAGUCUCUUCUUGAACUAGGUCUUAAUCUUUACGGACUAGCGAGAGGAUCUAACUUGGGUCUUCUCUUAAACAAACUCACAUCUAGAUCUGAAAUCAACUGAGAUC
rnacentral:rRNA from 1 species